rnacentral:rRNA from 1 species
UACGUAGGGACCAAGCGUUGUUCGGAUUUACUGGGCGUAAAGGGCGCGUAGGCGGCAAUUCAAGUCAUCUGUGAAAUCUCCGGGCUUAACUCGGAACGGUCAGAUGAUACUGCUUUGCUAGAGUGCGGAAGGGGCAAUCGGAAUUCUUGGUGUAGCGGUGAAAUGCGUAGAUAUCAAGAGGAACACCGGAGGUGAAGACGGGUUGCUGGGCCGACACUGACGCUGAGUGCGCGAAAGCCAGGGGAGCAAACGGG